GUAGUCCACGCCGUAAACGUUGGGAACUAGAUGUGGGGUCCAUUCCACGGAUUCCGUGUCGCAGCUAACGCAUUAAGUUCCCCGCCUGGGGAGUACGGCCGCAAGGCUAAAACUCAAAGGAAUUGACGGGGGCCCGCACAAGCGGCGGAGCAUGCGGAUUAAUUCGAUGCAACGCGAAGAACCUUACCAAGGCUUGACAUGCACCUGAAAAGGCUGGAAACAGUCUCCUCGCAAGACAGGUGCACAGGUGGUGCAUGGUUGUCGUCAGCUCGUGUCGUGAGAUGUUGGGUUAAG
rnacentral:rRNA from 1 species